UAGGGAAUCUUCCGCAAUGGGCGAAAGCCUGACGGAGCAACGCCGCGUGAGUGAUGAAGGUCUCGGAUCGUAAAACUCUGUUAUUAGGGAAGAACAAAUGUGUAAGUAACUAUGCACGUCUUGACGGUACCUAAUCAGAAAGCCACGGCUAACUACGUGCCAGCAGCCGCGGUAAUACGUAGGUGGCAAGCGUUAUUCGGAAUUAUUGGGCGUAAAGCGCGCGUAGGCGGUUUUUUAAGUCUGAUGUGAAAGCCCACGGCUCAACCGUAGAGGGACGUUUGAAACGGGAAAACUUGGGGGCAGAAGAGGAAAGUGGAAUUCCAUGUGUAGCGGGGAAAUGCGCAGAGAUAUGGAGGAACACCAGGGGCGAAGGCGACUUUCUGGUAUGUAACUGACGCUGAUGUGCGAAAGCGUGGGGAUCAAACGGG
rnacentral:rRNA from 1 species